GUAUUCAGGUAAGAGGAGCCCGGACUCUAAGGGUCACAACAGGAGUACAAUAAUAUGGGGCAGUCGCAGUCUAUGGAAAUGGUCUUUAUGACCGCUUUGCAGGCCCUUAUGAAGCAGAAAGGGUCCAAGGUCUCUAAAAAGGCCUUGCAGCAAUUUUCCUACAGAGUUUCAGAAUUGUGCCCGUGGUUCCCAAAGGAAGGAACUGUCGCACAGCAGCUGAAUACUUUUGGCAUCCAGAGUUCUCUCCUCUCCCUUAUACUAAGUGGAAAGACCCCCGACAGGCACUUGGAAGGGUCCUCCUGAUCCUGUCCUCCGCAGAGGACGCGGUUUGUCUGUGUUUUUCCUCAGGAUGAAGAUACCGCGCGCUGGCUUCCAGAAAGGUGGUGCAGAAUCCUCGCCUCUCCUCCAGAGCAUGGCUCGCCUCACGCUGAACGGCCAAGGCAGAUGAGGAAGGAGAAGACGUCUCCCCCACCCCCCCAACCAGGGCCUGAUAAAGGAUCUCCUGAACCAGGCCCUGGAAAUAGCAAAUCAAACCCAACCCAAUGAAACAUUGAUCACUACAGUAUUAACAUUAUUAGCUAUGGUUGGCCUCCCUCAUAGCGAGGCCACAGUUCAUUAGGCAUAUUUGCCUAAUCCACCCACUAUAAGGCCUGUCACUUAGGAUGAUCCCAAUUCUCGGGUGCGUACUAAUGGCACUAGUUAUCUUGGGGGAAGUAGUGCUGAUGGUAUAGAAUCUGCAGAGCAUUUUAUUAAUUGGACAGGCUUAGGGCUCAAGUACCCAUAUGCUUCCAGCUGCCCUUUUCUGGCUAUGACCUCAUCAAGGGACGUGUGAUAGUGCAUCUAGGUCCCAUAUAGUUACUUAUCUUGUAAGAGAUAUAGUAAGUGGGGUUAAUGGGUCUAAUCCUGUUUAGGGGUGGAAAAAUGGAUUGUUUAUGGAGUCGUGGGAAAUAAGACUCCUAAUAUCCCUCAGAAAGGUAUGCGCCCUCCUGGUUACCCCUAUUGCCCUCAGCGGUUGAAUUAUUCCUACCCAGGCCCUAUUUGGAUGACUUGUCUCUCUAAAAGAGGCCUAUGAUCAUUUCUCCUCAAGGCGUUCCUGAUUUCUCCAUUACGGAUUGGUCAAGGAAGACUAGAGAAGAAUUUCUGCAAGAUACCGCCUUUCCACCUAAUCUGCCAAUGCAUAAUGUAACUAUCCCAGGUGGAAUCUUCUCUACGGCCGGAGGAAUGUUCCAUUCAGAACUGUGGAAGUUAGUUGCUACUAUGGGACCUCUUGGGGUGCAAGUAACUAGGAAUGGCUACAUCCCCACUCUGAACAUCAAUUUACCCUUACAGGCGUGUGUCCCAAGGCCUGCCUUGUUAGUAGUAGGUUCAGGAAUCAUAAAUUCAACCUCCUUUUCAGGGAAACACUUCUUGUAUAACAUCGGAUGUAACAAUUGUGUAUUGACUGCUUACUUGUAACAUUGCCUUUACCGAGUACUAGUCCUACAAUAGUGUUUGUAACUAUGCAGCCCCCAUAUAUGCUACUGCCUGUAGAAGUAGAAGGACCAUGGUAUGCUAAUUAUGGUUAUAAAUUUGCUCUUGAAAUGCAGCUACAACUUCAACGGAUCAAGCGCUUUUUAGGCUUAUUGAUAGCUGGAAUAGCUGCGUUAGUAGCCCUUAUAGCUACGGCUACAGUAGCCUCAGUAGCUCUAUCCCAAAGUGUUCAUACUGCCGAACAUGUAAACAGUUUUGCAAAAAAUGUCUCAUAUGCCUUGCCUUAGCUACACAAGAACAUAUUGAUAAGAAAAUUUUUAGCCGCUUAGAUGGGUUAGAGGAAGCGACAGAAUAUUUAGGAAGCCAAUUGUCUAUCCUCAAAACUCAAAUGUUCUUGGUCUGUCAUGGAAGAUUUCAACAUAUCUGUGUAACUCAGUUAAAGGCAAAUAUUAUUACAUGGGACCGAGUAAAAAGACCUCUUAAGGGAAUAUGGUAUCAUACCAAUGUUAGCAGUUGAUAUACCAAUGUUGAUAUAGCAGACCUGCAAAAGGAUAUUUCAAGCAUCAGCCAGUCUCAUUUGGACUUAGUUAGUCCUGCUGAAGUAGUAUCACAUAUUUUAAGUAGCCUACAUGGGUUUAAUCCCAGGAAUUUAGUGAAAUAUUCAUCCUGGCUGUUUAUUGGACUUUUUAUUGUUUUGUUUACUUUCAUUUUGAUUUGGUGCAUUGUACAAAUCCGUGCAAGACAGCAUAGGUUUUGUAUGAAGGCUCAAAUGUAUUUCCUAGAUCUAAAAACAAAGAAAGGGGGAGAUGUAGGCAGCCACGGACCCAGCUAGAGACGAGGGAUCAAACCAGGCCCUGAUUCAUGCCUCGUGAAUAUCAGUUGAGUUGCACUUGAGAAAGAGCCUAAGCUAUGGACCCUAAGACUCGGGGAUGUGACUGCCUGCAUGUAUUAAGAGGCCAGACUGGGUUGUACAAUUAACUGUUACAAGAUUACCCGGUACUUGCACGGAUUACAAAUUGCACCAUUGUAUGCUCGCGAAUUGCUAGUUAAAGAUUAACUAAGUAGACAAAAUUACUGGCGUCAGAAGACCCGCUACCAGCGCUUGGGAAAUGGGUUUCGUCAAAGCUUAAGGGGUUUCAUGUGAAUGUUACGUGUGUAUAAGCAAUCAACCGAAAAUAGAUACUUUCUUAUAAUUGUUUCUGUUAACUGUAUAAUGCCUCACAACCUUGAAUAAAAUUGGCACUGCUUGGACAUCA